rnacentral:rRNA from 1 species
AUUGAACGCUGGCGGCAUGCUUUACACAUGCAAGUCGAACGGUAACAGGUUAAGCUGACGAGUGGCGAACGGGUGAGUAAUGCAUCGGAACGUGCCCGAUCGUGGGGGAUAACGCAGCGAAAGCUGCGCUAAUACCGCAUACGAUCUGAGGAUGAAAGCGGGGGACCGUAAGGCCUCGCGCGAUCGGAGCGGCCGAUGUCAGAUUAGGUAGUUGGUGGGGUAAAGGCUCACCAAGCCAACGAUCUGUAGCUGGUCUGAGGGGACGACCAGCCACACUGGGACUGAGACACGGCCCAGACUCCUACGGGAGGCAGCAGUGGGGAAUUUUGGACAAUGGGCGAAAGCCUGAUCCAGCAAUGCCGCGUGCAGGAAGAAGGCCUUCGGGUUGUAAACUGCUUUUGUACGGAACGAAAAGGUUUGACUUAAUACGUUGGACUCAUGACGGUACCGUAAGAAUAAGCACCGGCUAACUACGUGCCAGCAGCCGCAGUAA